rnacentral:tRNA from 1 species
AGGGUAAUAUCUCAGUGGUAGAGAGCAUGCUUAGCAUGCUUGAGGUCCUAAGUUCAAUCCCCAGUACCUCCA